rnacentral:misc_RNA from 1 species
CUUCAUCCCUCCACUCUUUCAUACCCCUCCUCCCUGCGUCACUUCCAGUGUCACCAAAACCUCAUCAUCUUCGACAUGUACGCACGGGCCAUCAUCCUCAGCAUUGCUAUGCUCGUCUCGAGCAGCGCCGUCCUCGCUCAGAGCGGUAGCUCUUCAGCUGCCUCUGCCUCCGGCAGCGUGACCGCGUCGUCGGCCAGCGCCAGCGCGUCCGCCACCUCCCCCGCUGCCAGCCAAUCCGGCUCCGCCUCUGCCUCUGGCAGCGCGUCCGCGUCCCACUCCGG